rnacentral:snRNA from 1 species
UUCCUGUUCACUGAGGCAUACUAAAAUUGGAAUGAUAUGGAGAAGAUUAGCAUAGUCCCUGAGCAAGGAUGACAUGAAAAUUUAUGAAGCAUUUUACAUUUAA